rnacentral:rRNA from 1 species
AUUGAACGCUGGCGGCAGGCUUAACACAUGCAAGUCGAGCGGGGUGAUGGUGCUUGCACUAUCACUUAGCGGCGGACGGGCGAGUAAUGCUUAGGAAUCUGCCUAUUAGUGGGGGACAACAUCUCGAAAGGGAUGCUAAUACCGCAUACGUCCUACGGGAGAAAGCAGGGGAUCACUUGUGACCUUGCGCUAAUAGAUGAGCCUAAGUCGGAUUAGCUAGUUGGUGGGGUAAAGGCCUACCAAGGCGACGAUCUGUAGCGGGUCUGAGAGGAUGAUCCGCCACACUGGGACUGGGACACGGCCCAGACUCCUACGGGAGGCAGCAGUGGGGAAUAUUGGACAAUGGGGGGAACCCUGAUCUAGCCAUGCCGCGUGUGUGAAGAAGGCCUUAUGGUUGUAAAGCACUUUAAGCGAGGAGGAGGCUCUUUUGGCUAAUACCCAAGAUGAGUGGACGUUACUCGCAGAAUAAGCACCGGCUAACUCUGUGCCAGCCGCCGCCGUAA